rnacentral:rRNA from 1 species
UACAGAGGUCUCAAGCGUUGUUCGGAUUCAUUGGGCGUAAAGGGCGCGUAGGCGGACAGUUUAGUCAGAGGUGAAAGCCCAGGGCUCAACCUUGGAAUUGCCUUUGAUACUGGCUGUCUUGAGUUCGGGAGAGGUGAGUGGAAUGCCGAGUGUAGAGGUGAAAUUCGUAGAUAUUCGGCGGAACACCAGUGGCGAAGGCGACUCACUGGCCCGAUACUGACGCUGAGGCGCGAAAGCGUGGGGAGCAAACAGG